UGUUGGCUUAGUGGUUUGAGCGUCCGCCUCAGAUGUGGGAUGUCGCGAGUUCUAACCACGGCCGGGUAAU